rnacentral:rRNA from 1 species
AUUGAACGCUGGCGGCAUGCCUUACACAUGCAAGUCGAACGGCAGCGGGGACUUCGGUCCGCCGGCGAGUGGCGAACGGGUGAGCAAUGUAUCGGAACGUACCUUUCAGUGGGGGAUAACGUAGCGACAGUUACGCUAAUACCGCAUAUUCUCUGAGGAGGAAAGCAGGGGACCUUCGGGACUUGUGCUGAUGGAGCGGUCGAUAUCAGAGUAGCUAGUUGGUGAGGUAAAGGCUCACCAAGGCGACGAUCUGUAGCGGGUCUGAGAGGAUGAUCCGCCACACUGGGACUGAGACACGGCCCAGACUCCUACGGGAGGCAGCAGUGGGGAAUUUUGGACAAUGGGCGCAAGCCUGAUCCAGCCAUGCCGCGUGAGUGAAGAAGGCCUUCGGGUUGUAAAGCUCUUUCGGACGGGAAGAAAUUGGUGGGGCUAAUAUCCCCAUCGGAUGACGGUACCGUAAUAAGAAGCACCGGCUAACUACGUGCCAGCCGCCGCCGUAAUAC